UGUCAGGAGUUAUGAAAUGUAGGAAUGUAAUAGCAUUUCUAUUUGACAAAGGCUCCAAAGGAAGCCACGGCUAACUCUGUGCCAGCAGCCGCGGUAAUACAGGGGUGGCAAGCGUUGUUCGGAAUUAUUGGGCGUAAAGAGCACGUAGGUGGAUUUGUAAGUCAGAUGUGAAAGCCUUCUGUUCAACGGGAGAAUUGCAUCUGAAACUACAGACCUUGAGUAUAGGAGGGGAGAGUGGAACUUCUGGU
rnacentral:rRNA from 1 species